rnacentral:rRNA from 1 species
UUUGAACGCUGGCGGCAUGCUUUACACAUGCAAGUCGAGCGGCAGCGCGGGGGCAACCCUGGCGGCGAGCGGCGAACGGGUGAGUAAUGCAUCGGAACGUAUCCUCGAGUGGGGGAUAACCCAGCGAAAGUUGGGCUAAUACCGCAUGAGCUCUGAGGAGGAAAGCGGGGGACCUGCGAGGGCCUCGCGCUGGAGGAGCGGCCGAUGUCCGAUUAGCUAGUUGGUGGGGUAAAGGCUUACCAAGGCGACGAUCGGUAGCUGGUCUGAGAGGAUGAUCAGCCACACUGGGACUGAGACACGGCCCAGACUCCUACGGGAGGCAGCAGUGGGGAAUUUUGGACAAUGGGGGCAACCCUGAUCCAGCCAUGCCGCGUGAGUGAAGAAGGCCUUCGGGUUGUAAAGCUCUUUCGGACGGAACGAAAUGGGCGGGACUAAUACUCCUGUCUGAUGACGGUACCGUAAGAAGAAGCACCGGCUAACUACGUG